rnacentral:rRNA from 1 species
UUACGAGGUCAGGACACUGUGAGGAUUGACAGAUUGAAAGCUCUUUCUUGAUUCAGUGGGUGGUGGUGCAUGGCCGUUCUUAGUUGGUGGAGUGAUUUGUCCGGUUAAUUCCGUUAACGAACGAGACCUUAACCUGCUAAAUAGUCACGCGAACCGGUCCGCAAGGGCUCAAAGUUCGCGGCUCGACUUCUUAGAGGGACUAUUCGCACCCGCCAGCGAAUGGAAGUUUGAGGCAAUAACAGGUCUGUGGUGCCCUUAGAUGUUCUCGGCCGCACGCGCGUUACACUGACGGAGUCAACGAGCGUUUUUCCUUGCCCGACAGGGCUGGGUAACCUCCUGAAACUCCGUCGUGAUGGGGAUAGAUCAUUGCAAUUAUUGAUCUUGAACGAGGAAUUCCUAGUAAGCGCGAGUCAUCAACUCGCGCUGAUUACGUCCCUGCCCUUUGUAUACACCGCCCGUCGCUCCUACCGAUUGAACGGUCCGGCGAGAACUCCGGAUGGUC